UACGAAGGGGGCUAGCGUUGCUCGGAAUCACUGGGCGUAAAGGGUGCGUAGGCGGGUUUUUAAGUCAGGGGUGAAAUCCUGGAGCUCAACUCCAGAACUGCCUUUGAUACUGAAGAUCUGAGUCCGGGAGAGGUGAGUGGAACUGGCGAGUGUAGAGGUGAAAUUCGUAGAUAUUGGGAAGAACACCGGUGGCGAAGGCGGCGCUCUGGACCGAGACUGACGCUGAGGCGCGAAAAGCGUGGGGAGCAAACAGG
rnacentral:rRNA from 1 species